rnacentral:tRNA from 1 species
GCGGAGGUGGUGAAACUGGCAAACACGCGGGCCUCAGGAGCCCGUGCCGAAAGGCUUGGGGGUUCAACUCCCCCCCUCCGCACCA